GCGGCGCGGAGCGGGUGAGGGCCCCGAAGGUCCCUGUUAAAGCAGCGCCGCUGCCUUUCCCAGCCCCCCUCACCUCCGUGUCCUGACCGUGCCUUCCUUCCCCCCGUGGGAUGCAAACCCUUCGCUUCCACCUGCUGAGCAGGAGGCGGGCGGCCUAAAAAUACAGCACGGGGCGCUUGUGUUUGGCCUAAAGGACACGCGUGCCGGUGCUGCUGGUGGUGAAUGAGCAGAGGCACAGCACACGCCCGGGGAAAAGCCAGGUCUGAUCUUCUGUGAGAGAGGAGAGGACUUCAGGAAACUCAGGCUUCAGAAAGUCACGUUUGGAAUCAGUUCUGGAGACGAAAGAUUUGUGCUUCUUUUAAACACUCUGCCUUCCCCACCCCCUGUCCGAGGCUCCCCAGGUUGUGUUUCGGGAGGAGCUGAAGCGGUGCGUUUUGCAGCUGGAGGCAGAUCUCCACCUCACGCCACCCCUAAACCAGUAGAGAAGACUCAGCACAUUCUCAAGGCCCUGCGCUCCCCUGAGACUCCUCUUGCAAAGAAGCAACAAGCGAUGAGUGAUGUGUUUGGGGAUUAUCGUCUCAGGAUGGCUGAGGAUCAGGAGAGCAUGGAGAAAGCAGGCGUGAAAUCUGCUCUGGAAGUCCAGCCAAGCAGUGGGCAGGCUGCAGAUGGUGUGAAACAGUCUGACCCAAGCCCUGAGGUGAAGCCAGAGCUGUUCACAUCAUCUGGCAGCAGCUUCCGAUUUGAUUUUACGCUUUCCGAGACCGACCCGGGAGCAGACCCUGGUGACAGUGGAGCUGUCACAGCCACCGAGCAGGAGAGCUGGAAUGGAACCCUGAGCUUUGCUGCCUCUGGACAAGAACCCAAGUUUGCUUUCAACUUUGCCAUCCCAGAUGAAGACUGUCCUCAGCUCCAGCUACUUCCAUCAAGCCAACACACAGACCCUUCACUGCCUGCUGAACCGGCUGCAGCCGUGCGGGACCCUGAGGGGAGUCAGGCUGCAGGGACUGCACCCAAAGAGGACAGAAACCAUGUCAUAUCAAAGAUCCCCCAAGCAGAGACUGCUCCUGCAGAUGAGGCAGCGACAGCGAAAUCAAGAGGAGACAGAGCUGCCCAGAAGAAGAAAAAGAAGAAGAAACAAAAACCACCUGUCAGUAAAAAGGAGACAGAAGAAACUGAGACAAGCAGGAAAGCAAAGACAGAAGCUAAGAACUGUCAAAAUACAAAUACUUCCCAUCAGGAUGAGAAGACCUCUCAGUCAGAGGAGCAGCUGCAGAGGGAGCUGGACUGGUGUGUGCAACAGCUGGAACUUGGCUUGAAGACACAGAAACCCACUGCAAAGCAGGCUGAGGACGCUCUGCGGGCCAUCAGGACGCUGCGCAGUGACAAGGCUCCCCUGGUGAAGAAGCGUCAGCUCAUGAGAGCCAUGUUUGGAGACUACAGGAAGAAGAUGCAGGAGGAGCUGUGCAGGGAGCUGAAGCUCAUGGAAACAGCUGCAAAGGCUGCCAGGAUCGUGGAGGUGAAGGGAAACAUCCUCAAGAAGAACGGCCAGUUCGUCCGGAAGCGCUCGGGAGCUUGCAGGGAAAGCCAGGGUUCAGCAGGAUCCCCUUCAGAGGCCCCCAGGACACUUUAUGCAGGCUUAUUCAGUGACACAGCUUCCAAGGAAGAAUUUCGCUUUAAUUUCUUCUGAGAAAGUGUCUUAGACUAAAACCAUGGCAAAAAAACCCUGUGCCAGAUCUGUAAAGUGCAGAACGGUGGAGAGGUGCUGUGCAGUAGCCAAUGACACCAGUGAUUCUCUGGAUCCUGUUCCAGAGUGCCUUAUCUAGAAGUUUAAACCAGAUCUGCCUGGUACCAUAUGACCCCAGGACUCAGCCAGCAUAGUGCUCCUCUGUGCUUACACUGUAGAGAGGCACCCUUGAAAGGGUCAGCAGUGAAAGGAGCUGGUUUUCUUCCUGUGGGAUUGACAUGAACUGUACAAUCUGUCUUUUAUACUGUGAGAUUUUCCGGUUCUCCUGUGGCUUUUAAAUAGAACAGAGCUUUCCUAGCAAACAGAGGGGAAUGGUUUGGAAAGAAGAUCCAACUUCUAUGAAGAUCCAGCAGUGGAUAUUUGGAUGCUUCCACUCUAUGAGUCUGUGUGAAUGCAGCUUCUGACAUCAGCAAACAGCAGCGAUGCCAUCACUGACCUGGAGGGAGUGGAGCUCAGGGUCUGGGGGGAGAGGGAAAAGAAAAGCUUAGUACUUCAAGCAACACAACAACCGGAACACUGUAGCAGAAGGUCGAAGAGUGAGGAGCAUUGACCCUGCAGCUCCAUAGCAGGAAAAAGAGGAGAUACUGCUAUUUUAAGAUCAUAUGAAGCUGUGACAGAUGAUCUUGUGUCUUUCUGCUGCCUAAGAUUUCUUUACUGCUCGCUGUUUGUGCUGCUUUCAUGUUUAGGACUGUGGAAGGUUUGUAAGAAAGACGCUGCUUUGGGAAACCCAGGUCUAACAUCCCUUCCCACAGUGGUUUGAUUACUGGUACCAGUCCUCCCGUGGGCACUGGCAGCUGGGGAGUGCUGACCCCUGGCUGGCUUUGGUCCAUUUUUGGCUUCUUCCCUGUGAGUGCAUCAAGGCACGAGCAGCUCCUGAUACCUCCCCACCAAGAUGGAAGAGGUCUGGGUGGUUUAUCUCUGCCUGAUCCUGAUGAUCAUCGUGCUUGUUCUCAUGAAGCAAAACCCGGAUCUGGAAGAGGCCAGGAAGGACAGGGAAAGCAAACCCUCCCCACCAUCCUCUUCCUUUUCCCCCAGUAAUGUGGGCAAACAGCUGGAGCACACCCAGGAAGAGCUGGAGGAGUAUCUGGAGAGGCUAAACAAUGUCUUGUUUGACACAGAAGCCAGGAGAAGGGAUGGCCACCAUGAUCAGAAGUUCCAACAUCACAGAAGUGCUGAUUUUGUGUCAGAAACUAAGGAGCACUCACAACACCUGUCAGGCUACACAGAAGUCCAGGCCUGAAGCAGUUCAGCCUGAGACUGACUCUGCUUGGAGCAGUGGAUGCUCCAGCAUCCACAGCGUGUGGCAGCAGCUUGCAGCACUAGUGCCAUUGCAUCCUUCCUGGAGGAGACCUGGAGGGAACCAAGGGGUUUGGUGGGUGGG